AGGGUCACACUACCACCAGGGCCAUAAAACUACCCCUGGAAAUGCCCACAACCCCUACGAAAGCCUUGUCAAAUGUGUGUUUCUUUAGGUUCAUGGUACGGAGGAAGGGUCACACUACCACCAGGGUCACAAAACUACCCCUGGAAAUGCCCACAACGCCUACGAAAGCCUUGUCAAAUGUGUGUUUCUUUAGGUUCACGGUACAGAGGAAGGGUCACACUACCACCAGGGUCACAAAACUACCCCUGGAAAUGCCCACAACUCCUACGAAAGCCUUGUCAAAUGUGUGUUUCUUUAGGUUCACGGUACAGAGGAAGGGUCACACUACCACCAGGGUCAUAAAACUACUCCUGGAAAUGCCCACAACUCCUACGAAAGCCUUGUCAAAUGUGUGUUUCUUUAGGUUCAUGGUACAGAGGAAGGGUCACACUACCACCAGGGUCAUAAAACUACCCCUGGAAAUGCCCACAACUCCUACGAAAGCCUUGUCAAAUGUGUUUCUUUAGGUUCACGGUACAGAGGAAGGGUCACACUACCACCAGGGUCAUUAAACUACCCCUGGAAAUGCCCACAACGCCUACGAAAGCCUUGUCAAAUGUGUGUUUCUUUAGGUUCACGGUACAGAGGAAGGGUCACACUACCACCAGGGUCACAAAACUACCCCUGGAAAUGCCCACAACUCCCACGAAAGCCUUGUCAAAUGUGUGUUUCUUUAGGUUCACGGUACAGAGGAAGGGUCACACUACCACCAGGGUCAUGAAACUACUCCUGGAAAUGCCCACAACUCCUACGAAAGCCUUGUCAAAUGUGUGUUUCUUUAGGUUCACGGUACAGAGGAAGGGUCACACUACCACCAGGGUCAUGAAACUACUCCUGGAAAUGCCCACAACUCCUACGAAAGCCUUGUCAAAUGAGUGUUUCUUUAGGUUCAUGGUACAGAGGAAGGGUCACACUACCACCAGGGUCACAAAACUACCCCUGGAAAUGCCCACAACUCCUACGAAAGCCUUGUCAAAUAUGUGUACUUGGGCGGAGAAAUGUCUUAUAAUUUACGACCCAGGGACCGAUAGCGUCUUGGGCAAGUGUUUAUAGUGGCGCCAUCUUGUACGCCCCACACUGCCCCCGGGAGCUCAUCUCUGAUCCAGUUUAGGGAGAAUCUAGAGUCCGGGUUUACAGGCGGCCACCAGUACAGCAUGUGGGCAUAGAGCCGAUUUCACAAUCCAACACAGUGUCUUCGUAACAGCCCGAACCAAACUACAGAAUCCCAUACAAUCCAAAACGGUGAGGUCUUCCAUGUCACACUAAAUACACAAGACUUUUCCUGUAUAGUUUCAUCCAAUGUGUGAACUUAAACAUAAACACCAGACACUAUACAAGGAAAUUUCGAAGGCUCUGGUAUUGGUUUGGGAGCUUACUAACCCAUCACGGGGAACUGUGGAACUGAAUAUAAACACCAGACACUAUACAAGGAAAUUUCGAAGGCUCUGGUAUUGGUUUGGGAGCUUACUAACCCAUCACGGGGAACUGUGAAACUGAAUAUAAACACCAGACACUAUACAAGGAAAUUUCGAAGGCUCUGGUAUUGGUUUGGGAGCUUACUAACCCAUCACGGGGAACUGUGGAACUGAAUAUAAACACCAGACACUAUACAAGGAAAUUUCGAAGGCUCUGGUAUUGGUUUGGGAGCUUACUAACCCAUCACGGGGAACUGUGAAACUGAAUAUAAACACCAGACACUAUACAAGGAAAUUUCGAAGGCUCUGGUAUUGGUUUGGGAGCUUACUAACCCAUCACGGGGAACUGUGGAACUGAAUACAAACACCAGACACUAUUCAAGGAAAUUUCGAAGGCUCUGGUAUUGGUUUGGGAGCUUACUAACCCAUCACGGGGAACUGUGAAACUCGGCGGUGAUUGAACACUGGUAGCUUCUGGAGACGGGCGGGGCGCGAACCUGGGGCCUUCAAGACACCACGCCCAAACACUGACCACUCAGCCACCACCAAAAAGUGCAUGCGAAGGAAAGGAAGGAGGAAAGGGGAGGAAGGGAGGGAAGGAGAGGAACACAUGGAGAGAAAGAGGAAAGUAGAAGGGAAGGAAGGAAGGAAGGAAGGGAGGGAGAAAGGAAGGAAGGAGGGAUGGGAGAGGAAGGAAGGAAGGAAGGAAGGAAGGAAGGAAGGAGGGGAGAUAAGGAAGAAAGGAAGGAAGGAAGAAAGGAAGAGGAGGAAGGAAGGGAGAGGAAAAAUGGAGCAUAUGGAGGAAAGAAAUGGAGGAAAGAGGGAAAAAUGAGAGAGAGAGA